rnacentral:rRNA from 1 species
GAACGGGGUUGUUUUCUUCGGAGAACAACUUAGUGGCGAAAGGGUGAGUAAUACAUGGAUCAUCUACCCCUGGGUCUGGGAUAACAGCGGGAAACUGCUGCUAAUACCAGAUUGUCCAGAGAUGGUAAAGGUGGGGACCUUCGGGCCUGCCGCCUAGGGAGGAGUCCAUGGCCUAUCAGCUUGUUGGUGGGGUAACGGCCCACCAAGGCAUAGACGGGUAGCCGGACUGAGAGGUCGACCGGCCACACUGGGACUGAGACACUGCCCAGACUCCUACGGGAGGCUGCAGUCGAGAAUCUUCCGCAAUGGGCGAAAGCCUGACGGAGCGACGCCGCGUGCAGGACGAAGGCCCUCGGGUUGUAAACUGCUGUCAAAGGUUAUGAACAAGCGUCGGUUAAUACCCGGCGACCUGACAAAAGCCUGAGAGGAAGUCACGGCUAACUUCGUGCCAGCAGCCGCGGUAAGACGAAGGUGGCAAGCGUUGCUCGGAAUUACUGGGCAUAAAGCGCACGUAGGUGGCAAGGUCAGCGAGGAAUGAAAUCCCAUGGCUCACCCAUGGAACUGUUCCUCGAACUGCCUUGCUUGAGGGCGGGAGGGGAGAGUGGAAUUCCUGGUGUAGCGGUGAAAUGCGUAGAUAUCAGGAGGAACACCGGUGGCGAAAGCGACUCUCUGGCCCGUUCCUGACACUCAUGUGCGAAAGCUAGGGGAGCAAACAGGAUUAGAUACCCUGGUAGUCCUAGCUGUAAACGAUGGGCACUAAGUAGAGGGG